GAUGAACGCUGACAGAAUGCUUAACACAUGCAAGUCAACUUGAACUUCAGUUUGGGUGGCGGACGGGUGAGUAACGCGUAAAGAACUUGCCUCACAGAUAGGGACAACAUUUGGAAACGAAUGCUAAUACCUGAUAUUAUGAUUUUAGGGCAUCCUAGGAUUAUGAAAGCUAUAUGCGCUGUGAGAGAGCUUUGCGUCCCAUUAGCUAGUUGGAGAGGUAACGGCUCACCAAGGCGAUGAUGGGUAGCCGGCCUGAGAGGGUGAUCGGCCACAAGGGGACUGAGACACGGCCCUUACUCCUACGGGAGGCAGCAGUGGGGAAUAUUGGACAAUGGACCAAGAGUCUGAUCCAGCAAUUCUGUGUGCACGAUGAAGUUUUUCGGAAUGUAAAGUGCUUUCAGUUGGGAAGAAAAAAAUGACGGUACCAACAGAAGAAGUGACGGCUAAAUACGUGCCAGCAGCCGCGGUAAUACGUAUGUCACAAGCGUUAUCCGGAUUUAUUGGGCGUAAAGCGCGUCUAGGUGGUUAUAUAAGUCUGAUGUGAAAAUGCAGGGCUCAACUCUGUAUUGCGUUGGAAACUGUGUAACUAGAGUACUGGAGAGGUAAGCGGAACUACAAGUGUAGAGGUGAAAUUCGUAGAUAUUUGUAGGAAUGCCGAUGGGGAAGCCAGCUUACUGGACAGAUACUGACGCUGAAGCGCGAAAGCGUGGGUAGCAAACAGG
rnacentral:rRNA from 1 species